CAGUCGCCGCGGUAAUACAGAGGGUGCGAGCGUUAAUCGGAUUUACUGGGCGUAAAGCGUGCGUAGGCGGCUUCUUAAGUCGGAUGUGAAAUCCCUGAGCUUAACUUAGGAAUUGCAUUCGAUACUGGGAAGCUAGAGUAUGGGAGAGGAUGGUAGAAUUCCAGGUGUAGCGGUGAAAUGCGUAGAGAUCUGGAGGAAUACCGAUGGCGAAGGCAGCCAUCUGGCCUAAUACUGACGCUGAGGUACGAAAGCAUGGGGAGCAAACAGGAUUAGAUACCCGAGUAGUCCCUGUCUCUUAUAU
rnacentral:rRNA from 1 species